UUCUUCCCACAAUCGGAAACAGAACAAUACCAACAAUGGCACAAAAUCCACCCUUAAAACUAUCUGAAUCCGAAAGAUAUUUUCACACCUUCGCAAAUGAAUUGGCAGAUAGCGGGAUCACCUGUGCAUCGCUGCGAUUCCCAGGAUGUCGGCAAUCGGAAUCGGAAUAUUCCAACUGUAAAAUGCACAACAAAAGCGAACGAAAGAUUUGCGGAAAGCAAAGGGAAGUAGAGAGCGGAUGUUGUGCACGCUUCACGCGCAAGCGUAGCGGAAAUCAAAAAAAAAGGACAAUGAAAGGACGAACUAAGAAAGGCACACGGAUUGCGGGUGAGGAAGUAGAUGAAGAAAGACGGUGAAUUAAAUUUUACCGCUAUGGGAUCGAACUAGAGACAAACGGAUGUGAAGCACAAUCACUUCCGAUUGCGGGCAGGAUAGAGGACCACACGCAGACGGGCGGACUUUGUCCACUCUCAGGUCCUUCAUCUGAUGCUCUUACCAAUCACUUUCACUAUCUCUAUACAUUAGGUAAUUUAUCUUUUUUUAAAUAACUUCCCUAAAAUAUUUUAGUCUUCUUCUCGAUGCUUUGACUCCUAAAUUAAAAUGUUAACUGACCUCUGGACAUUGGUUGAACUGAACGGAAUGAGUGUAUUCAAGACACCCAAACAAAUAUGUGUCAGUUCCAACAAGUGUUUGUUUAUCUAGUCGCGCCGGAUAAUUUAUGGACCCAGCGGUUUUAUCAACGCCUCGCAGUUGCUUUCCCACAAGUGUUGCAUAAAGCUGAUAGAACGUCUCGAUCGCUGCCCGCACGAUCUCAAUUUAUUUGCAUUGUAAACAAGAGAAUAUUGUAUGUAUAGGAGCAAUCAUAAAGCAAAGGAAACAAACCGAAGGAGGCGCCCUUAUCACUGUGACAUUGAGUCGAUGCGAAUGGGGGGCGAAUGGGGGAUUGGAAUGGGAAAUGUAAGAAAACCAAACAAACAAUCAAACCAAUGAACCAACCAGUCUAUUAAAAUCACUUCCCAUUGCCAUUUGACAUGGAGGAACUCGUAUGGAGACAAUUUAAAGCUGUAAAACGGAAAUCUCAAAUAAAAAUGGAUUUAAACGCUUG
ensembl:ncRNA lncRNA:CR44445 long non-coding RNA:CR44445